AUCCUUAUCAGAUGUACCAAGAUAAUAUCUUGUCAGAUUUGUUGUUUGUCUCUCCUGGAUUGGUGAACACCUCACCAUUUGCAGAACAUUUGGAUUCUUCAAAAGACAAUAUUGCAGUUGAGCCCUCCUAUGAAUCAUUUGUUUCAAGAACUGAGACAGGAUCAGGAGGAUGGCCCAUGGAAGCCCAGAACCCUUCAGACUCAUCCCCCUUUGUCUUCCUGGAAUCUAAUCCUCAGCCUCUCCAGCCCACAACAGAGCCAAUCAAGGAGGUAGAGAUGGAGGUAGAAUUAACCAAGGAGGCAUUAUCAGUAAAAGAGGUGGAAAUGAACCUGGCACCUUCCAUGGAAGUGGAGAAAGCACCAGUAAUGGAAAGUCAGCCAUUUAUAGAGGUGGCAUCAGUCAAGGGGGAGGAUGAACCAGCUAUGGAGAUGGCAUCAUCCAAGGGGGUGGAAGAUGAACUAGCCAUGGAGGUGGCAUCAAUCAAGGAGGAAGAGAAUAAACUAGCUUUGGAGGUAACCCCAGACUUAAGGGCUCAGACAGAACAAGUCGCAGAAAUGAUACCAACUGAACAGACCCAAGAAGUCCCAUGUGUGGAUAUGGAACUUGCCAAGGAGAACCAGGCGAUCCCAGCCAAGGAGUCCCAGGUGGUGCCAGCUGUUGAGGUGGUAAAGAUACCAGCUGUGGAGGUCGAACAAACUAAGGAAGCCCAGCUGGCACCAGUCAUGGAACUGACACUGACCAAGGACAUAGAGGCAAUAACAACCCCAGCCAAGGAUGUGGAAGUAGAGAAAAUGAGUGAACCUCAGAGACUGGCAUCUCCCCAGGCUGAAGAAAGCUGUGUUUUCAUGGCCUCCCCAGAGUCCCCUAAGAUACCCGGCAUGGACAGUUUGGAACCACUGCAGGAACAGGUACUGCCUGGAGUUGUUUCUCCUAACACAGAACCAAGAACAGAUUCCAAAGUGGAUGAUUCGAAUUACUUUGAACAAACAGCUCCUGUUCCUGUAGCUGAAGUGAAUCCUUUUAAACUUUGUUCUGAGAAUUCCCCAGCAUCACCUACUGAAGUACCUUUAGAACCAGUUGCAGUCCUAGAACAAAAAGUAUACUUGCCAGAAACUUCAGUUCCUGCAGAAGAUAAAGCUUUAGAGAAACUGGAAGAGAGUAAAGCCCUGGUAUCCUCUCCAGAGACUAUAGCAGAAACACUGAAUACAGGACCAUUAUACAAAUGUAAAGCAUCCUCACUAGAAGAAAUGACUUCUUCUAUUGAUUUUGCUGCAUUAGAAAAGCCAAAGGGAGAGACCGAGCACUGCCAUGUCUCAUCUUCAGAGUCUUCUCUGGAACGUACAGGUAGAACUGAUCUAUAUUUGGGCCAGCUUCCCUCGCGUCUUUCAUGCCAUUGCUUGCAGUUGUAGCACCAUCUUUGAAUAGCAGCUUUGGAAAAUGUUUUCAGGACAACAUUUUGUAGUACCAUUUUUUCAUUAGGCCUUUGAUUUUUGAACAUUCUCUUAAUUUCUCUAGCCAUUUUCUUGCCUUUAUUUAAAGCUUUGGAUUUUGAAUGCUUUCAUCCCUCUAUAUCACCUUUCUAGCCAUGCUUUUGCUUUGGGUAUUUCCAUUCUUUUAUUAGAGAAAAGUGAGCUUUAACAUAGUCAACCAUUUUCCCCAAUUAAUAAAAGUAAGUUGUUGCCAAAUAACCUAAUGGUC
rnacentral:lncRNA from 1 species